AACGAUGGAGCGGCACCAGCCCCAGCACCAGCGCACACCCACCCUUCUCACCUUUUCAGCUUCGCCAUCUCACCGUCACGCACACCGACUUCGUCACAGGCACGAUCAUGAAGUCGUUCUUUUCCAAAAUCACGUCAAUGCUGAAGACGAGGCGGACGCCGCUGGCGCCGUGCGACUGCUCCGACUUCAUAGAGGCCGCGCCAGCACAGCCGUCCCUGACGCAUCUGCGCGGCGUCGUCGCGGCCCGUCACUUCCACGGUGCCCCGCCGCCGGCCUCCGACGUGGAGAAAGCGCGGCGCGACUUCGUCGUUCGCAGCACCGUGUUCGAUCUGCAGUACCGGUGCGGUGCCGGUGGGCGGUGCACAUGCGCUGGCGCGCCGACGUGUCGCUUCCCACAGUGCUUCACCAUGCGGCCAGUGACGAAGGGCGCCGAGGUGCUGGCGGAGCGCCAGGUGUACGAGGUUGAGGACGCCCCGGCGCCGGAGAUACGUGCCUUGGUGGCCCUGGCUGCCGAAGAGAAGCUCGAAGAGGUGGUGAAGGGUAUCCAGCACACGGUCGACGCGCAUCUGAAGGCGGGCGCUCGUGGGCGCGGCCUCGAGGCACGCUUCAUCAUCGAUGGCUCCGACGGUCAUGAGUUUACGCCGGCCACGCCGAAGACCGGCACCGACAGCAUCCACGCCGGCGCCAACCCGCUCCGCGAGGACGAAGAUCUGCGGGAGGAGAUCACCUCCCUGUACCUCUGGCGCGCUGCCCUGCUGGUCAACCUGCGCCGCGACGAGCAGGCCGUGUCCUCGCUGCUCAACCUCGCGUUUGCGGUGGAGCAGAAAGACCGCACGCGGCUCUACGGCGCCGCCGCUGCGUGGGCGGUGCUGAACGACAUGGAGAUCAUCUACUACCGAAGCCUCGUCAAGAGUUGCAAGCCCUUCGAUCAGGCUGUGCACUUCGCGACGGAGCGGCCGCUGCUGCUGGCACGCGUGUUCGAGGCAACCAGGGGCGACGACUACCACACGGACUACUGCACCCACGUCGUCUUCUCCAAGGAGGUGACGGCGACGGUGACUCGGGCGCAGACGGCGCAGAUGCACGGCGACUUCACCGAGGACCCCAUGCGCAGCCUGUGCCUGCCGCUCACCAUGCCGUACUACCGCUUUCGCGUAGACGAAGAGUUCUGGAAGCGCUUCUACGCGCUGCUCUGCAUGCCGCCGGUGCCGCCGCCGACGCCGGAGGAGGCAAAGGCGCAGGCGAUCGACCCAGCUGCGGAGCUUGGCCUGACGCCCAACUACAUCCUCGACGCCGUGGGCCGCAGCAUGAUGCUGCACCACCUCGUCACGUUCGCCGACGUGCGCGACAAGGAGAUCGACACCGGCGUCGUUGUGGAUCGCGUGAAGGAGAUGAAGCUUCUCGACCUGCAGCCGCACCCGUCCGACUACGCCCCGGUGCUGACCACUAGCGAGAUGCACGUCGCGGUGACCCGGAUGAAGGAACUGCUCGUCGUUGUCCGCUCCUUCGAAGCCAAAGAGCAGGAGCGGCUGUCCGGCGCAGCGGCGGCGCAACGCCUGCAGCGUGCGCAGAGCAGCAACGACGCACCCAACCCCAGCGCAGCCCCACCAGCGCCGUCGCCCAUAGAAAAGUAAGGGGGGAGGCGGCGGGGACAGCGGCGAUGCCUCUCUUGCUCGCUACCUAGCUUCGGGUGGCGGCUGUGUGUGUGCAGGUGUGCACCGACAAAUACACGCGUAUAGCGCCCAGUGAC
rnacentral:misc_RNA from 1 species